rnacentral:rRNA from 1 species
AUACGAAAGGUGCGAGCGUUAAUCGGAAUUACUGGGCGUAAAGCGCGCGUAGGCGGCUAUUUAAGUCGGAUGUGAAAUCCCCGGGCUCAACCUGGGAAUUGCAUCCGAUACUGGGUAGCUAGAGUGCGGUAGAGGGAGGUGGAAUUCCAGGUGUAGCGGUGAAAUGCGUAGAGAUCUGGAGGAACACCAGUGGCGAAGGCGGCCUCCUGGACUGACACUGACGCUGAGGUGCGAAAGCGUGGGGAUCAAACAGGAUUAGAUACCCUGGUAGUCCACGCCGUAAACGAUGUCAACUAGCCGUUGGUGCCCUUGGUGGUGCUGGUGGCGCAGCUAACGCGAUAAGUUGACCGCCUGAGGAGUACGGCCGCAAGGUUAAA